UACCUGCAGCUCGAGUGGUAACCGCUAUUAUUGGGCCUAAAGCGUCCGUAGCCGGUUUGGUAAAUAUCUGGGUAAAUCGUGAGGCUUAACUUCACGAAUUUCGGAUAGACUGCCAGACUUGGGAUCGGGGGUGGUCAGAGGUACUCCAGGGGUAGCGGUGAAAUGUUGUAAUCCUUGGAGGACCACCGGUAGCGAAGGCGUCUGACUAGAACGAGUCCGACGGUGAGGGACGAAGCCCUGGGGCGCAAACCGGAUUAGAUACCCGGGUAGUCCAGGGUGUAAACAAUGUGGGCUUUGUAUUGGAGAUCCCACGUGGGUGUCCAGUGCAGAAGAGAAGUUGUUAAGCCCACCGCCUGGGAAGUACGGUCGCAAGGCUGAAACUUAAAGGAAUUGGCGGGGAGCACAGCAACGGGAGGAGCGUGCGGUUU
rnacentral:rRNA from 1 species